rnacentral:lncRNA from 1 species
GGGGCCGACAUCAGGUUUCUUCUUAGCACCGGCGUAGUCGGCGACGACUUCGGGUUUCUUCUCUGCGCUAGCGGAGACAUCAGAGACGGCUUCAGGUUUCUUCUCAGGGACAGCAGAGGCGUCAGUGGCGGCCUCAAGUUCCUUCUCAGCGCUGGCGGAGACGUCAGAGGCGGCUUCGGGUUCCUUCUCGGCACUGGCGGAGACGGCUUCGGGUUUCUUCUCAGCAUUGGCAGAGACGUAGGAGUCGGCCUCAGGUUUCUUCUCAGCGGUGGCGGAGACAUCGGAGGCGGCUUCAGGUUUCUUCUCGGCACUGGCGGAGUCGGCUUCGGAUUUCUUUUCAACGCUAGCGGAGACGUAGGAGUCAGCCUCUGGUUUCUUCUUUGCGUUGGCAGAGAUGUCGGAGGCAGCCUCGUGCUUCUUUUCAGCGCUGGCGGAGACGUUAGAGGCGGCUUCAGGUUUCUUCUUGGUGCUGGCAGAGAUGUAGGAGUCGGCCUCGGGUUUCUUCUCAGCGCUGGUAGAGACAUCAGAGGCAGCUUCGGGUUUAUUCUCGGC